rnacentral:misc_RNA from 1 species
GGAAUGUAACAAUGGUGUAGACGGCAGGAUUUACCUCCUGGUAUUUAGCAACACCAUAAGCAUCUACAAUUUCUUGAUAUGCAUUUGUGAAACAGUUUGUCCUGAAGUAUGUUGGAGGUGAGUCUACAGUAUCCAUCACAUGAAAUAUAAUUCCCACUUGUGAGUUGCUAUCCAUUGUCGCACGUUGCAAAGCCUCUUGUAUCUUAAUCUUUGCAAAUAUUGGACAAU